GCGGAUGUGGCGAAAUUGGCAGACGCACUAGUCUUAGGAUCUAGCGGGAAACCAUGCAGGUUCAACUCCUGUCAUCCGCACCA
rnacentral:tRNA from 1 species